GUACUGCUGAGGAGUCCCAUACUAGGACGAAACGGCCGUCCAAUGC
rfam:Schistosoma margrebowiei strain Zambia genome assembly, scaffold: SMRZ_scaffold0002294